rnacentral:rRNA from 1 species
GACGAACGCUGGCGGCGUGCCUAAUACAUGCAAGUAGGACGCAGUUGCGAACGGGUGAGUAACGCGUAGGUAACUACCUAUUAGAGGGGGAGAACUAAUGGAAACGAUAGCUAAUACCGCAUACUAGCAGAUGGAACUGCGUUGUAUUAGCUAGCUGGUGGGGUAAGGGCCUACCUAGGCAACGCUACAUAACCGACCCGGGGAGGUGGUCCGGCCCACUGGGGCCGGGACACCGCCCAGACUCCUACGGGGAGCAACAGUAGGGAAUCUUCGGCAAUUGGGGGAACCCUUGCCCAGCAACGCCGCGUUAGUGAAAAAUGUUUUCGGAUCGUAAAGCUCUGUUGUUAAGGGAGCGGUACUUAACCAGAAAGCGACGGCUAACUACGUGCCAGCAGCCGCGGUAAUUC